GGGCAUCUGGAUCUAUGGAGGUCCCGCCUGCCCUGUGACUGAAAGUUUAACGGCCGCGGUAUUUUGACCGUGCGAAGGUAGCGUAAUCACUUGUCUUUUAAAUAAAGACCUGUAUGAAUGGCAUAACGAGGGCUAAGCUGUCUCCUUUUUCCAGUCAAUGAAAUUGAUCUGCCCGUGCAGAAGCGGGCAUACCCACAUAAGACGAGAAGACCCUAUGGAGCUUAAGACACCAGAAUAGACCACGUCAACAACCCCCAAAUCACCAGGAAUAAACCAAAUGGCCUCUAUUCCCCUGUCUUUGGUUGGGGCGACCGCGGAGUAAUAAGUAACCCCCACGUGGAAUGGGCUCCCACCCCUAAAGCCAGGGCCACAGCCCUAGCGAACAGAAAAUCUGACCAUUAAGAUCCGGCAACGCCGAUCAACGGACCCAGUUACCCUAGGGAUAACAGCGCAAUCCCCUUCUAGAGCCCAUAUCGACAAGGGGGUUUACGACCUCGAUGUUGGAUCAGGACAUCCUAAUGGUGCAGCCGCUAUUAAGGGUUC
rnacentral:rRNA from 1 species